rnacentral:piRNA from 1 species
UGCAAGGACCCUUUGCCUCUCAGAAACAGA